rnacentral:lncRNA from 1 species
CGGGAAGGUCAGGAGGGGGAAGACCAGCCAUCUGCAGAGGUGCUCCUUGGAGAGGGUGUGUGGGAGUGGGCAUCCCUCUCUCCCUGUUCUAUGAGCCGCCACCCCCCGCAGUAACUGGCUGAGCCCAUCCUGGGGCCAUGCUGUCACUACACUCCUGUCCCGUCUCUUUUAUGACCCACACCUGCCCCACCUGGGCAGUAGGGUCAUCCGGCCACGGCCACUCACGCUGGGGUUGCCUCAGAAGCAACGUCAUGCACCUUUUGUGGCAGAUGUCCCCCGAGACUGUUGAUAGCACCUCUUUUCCCGGUAUGACCUGGGGCCCUUGAGGGAAUUUCUCAGCAACGCAUAACAGCAAUAAAAAUAAACAAGCCGUUGUUGGGAGGGCGAAACGGGAGAGGCGGAGCGCAGGAUCUCGUUAUGAAGGAGAGAGACAGCCAAACUUCAGGGCGCCGGCUGAGGUCCUCCGGCCCCGAAGGGGGCUGCCAGCGGGAAGGGCUCUUGGUGACCGGAUCCGGGGUUCAGACCUCCUCUGUGAGCGCCGGCCGCGUGAUUCGCACUCUGCUCUUACCUGGAGCAGGACGCUGGGACGAAGGACGGCGACCUGCCCCUCGACCCCUGGGUUGUCACCAACCACCAGGCGCUGGCGUCCUCUGAAGGGGAGGCCGUACGUUCGCGUGAGAAGCACAUUUAACAUUCAGCCCAAAUGUGACAACCCCCGCUGAGCUGCAGAAACGUGGUGGGAACAGCACAAACGUGGUCCUGUGGAUCCGAGGCUCACAGUGCUCGGGGACGCGGCGAGGGGUCCUCACACAGAGCUCGUGUGUCCUCAGAAUGUGAGCACCAUGACAGUGGCCUGUGCGCGUGGCCCCGUGGGCGCGAUCUGGAACAGCAAGCAGGCGCACGAAACACCGGCCAAACCAGCGGCGUUCGGGCCACAUCUGGGCCUGCUUUCCACGUCCAUAAGACUGAGUUUUAAAAACUGACCUCACAGGCCUCUUUGCACGUUAGAGAUCAUGUCUGUAGAGGACCUGGCUCCUGAAACGCUAUGUAAAAAAUCACCUAUUAUUACUGUAACCGGAUCAAACCUGGGUCUGCUCUGGCCUUAGGACUUGUUGGGAGCAGAGGAAAGUGGGCGAGAGGCAGGCAACCUCGGCCACCUGCUUCCCCAGGGAGCGUGAGGUGGGGCGGGUCAGAGCUCAGGGCCCACAGGCAGCUUCCCUGUCCUUACCCGUCUCCUCCUAGCAGCCGCCCCCACUAGCCAUCAGUCACUCCCUGCCCUCCUCCCACUUUCCUCCUGUGUCCGUCCCUGUAAAACAGCUUAGUCGCUCCCUGUGUCAUUCUCUCUGUCCCUUACUACUCAGCACAGCAAGGUUCUGACCGACUCUUCAAACGAGGGACCUCGCAUCCUCAGGAACUGGGAGGAGAGGGUUCACGGCCAAUGCGGGUGCAUGUGUGUGUGUGUUUGUGUGCGUGUGUGGGC